CUGCUGCCUCCCGUAGGAGUCUGGGCCGUGUCUCAGUCCCAAUGUGGCCGUUCAACCUCUCAGUCCGGCUACCGAUCGUCGGCUUGGUGGGCUAUUAUCUCACCAACUACCUAAUCGGGCGCGAGCCCAUCUUUCAGCGAUAAAUCUUUGAUUGGGUCAUGAUGCCAUAUCCCAAUGUUAUGCGGUAUUAGCGUUCGUUUCCAAACGUUAUUCCCCUCUGAAAGGCAGGUUGCUCACGUGUUACUCACCCG
rnacentral:rRNA from 1 species